GCCAACUACAGCUGUGAAUACAUGUGAUACCAACAAAGUCAAAGUACAGCUCAGCAUCAAACUAACAAACUAAUAAGUUAAAAGAAGCUUCCCUCCAAAUACUGCAACAUAGGUCAUGAGCAAUGUGAUGAAAGGGAGGCGAAGGUGAGUGAGGUUGUGAACUGUGGGCUGUGGCUGUGAGUGCGAAAGGUGAGACUGCGAGAGUUAUGAUGACCUGCUUGAGACGUAGGUUGAGAAACCAGGGGCGGUUACCAAAAUUGAGAGGAAAAAUAAUCUCAGUUGUAUUGAAUUGAAUGGAAAAGAACAGUGUUCAGCUUAUAUACAAAAUGAGUAAAGUGCUAACUAACUACAGCUGUGAAUACACGUG
rnacentral:misc_RNA from 1 species